rnacentral:rRNA from 1 species
GACGUAGGGCGCGAGCGUUGUCCGGAUUUAUUGGGCGUAAAGAGCUUGUAGGCGGUCUGUCGCAUCUGCUGUGAAAAUCCGGGGCUCAACCCCGGACUUGCAGUGGGUACGGGCAGACUAGAGUGUGGUAGGGGAGACUGGAAUUCCUGGUGUAGCGGUGAAAUGCGCAGAUAUCUGGAGGAACACCGGUGGCGAAGGCGGCAUCCUGGACCGGUAUUGACGCUGAGGCGCGAAAAGCCAGGGGGAGCAAACGGG